AUUCUACAUAUGAGUGAGAUAAUGUAGUAUUUGUCUUUUUGUGCCUGGCUUAUUUCACUUAACAUUAUAUCCUCUAGAUUUCAUAUCUUAAAAUUUGUGGACUCAUACAGUAAAUAUGUAUGAGUAUUUACUGCAUGAAUCCAGAAAAUGGAAUCAUACAGUAAAUACCCCUGACAAAUGUAUUUACUGUAUAAGCCCAUUUUCGCACUGCUGAUAAAGACAUAUCUGAGACUGAGCAAUUGACAAAAGAAAGAGGUUUAUUGGACUUACAGUUCCACAUGGCUGGGGAGGCCUCACAAUUGCGGUGGAAAGCAAGGAGGACCAAGUCACAUCUUAAGUGGACGGCAGCAGG